UACGAAGGGGGCUAGCGUUGUUCGGAAUUACUGGGCGUAAAGCGCGCGCAGGCGGUCUUCCAAGUCAGUGGUGAAAGCCCGGAGCUCAACUCCGGAACUGCCAUUGAAACUGUUGGACUUGAGUACGAGAGAGGUGAGUGGAAUUCCCAGUGUAGAGGUGAAAUUCGUAGAUAUUGGGAAGAACACCGGUGGCGAGGGCGGCUCACUGGCUCGUAACUGACGCUCAGGCGCGACAGCGUGGGGAUCAAACAGG
rnacentral:rRNA from 1 species